rnacentral:rRNA from 1 species
UACGUAGGGUGCGAGCGUUGUCCGGAAUUAUUGGGCGUAAAGAGCUCGUAGGCGGUCUGUCGCGUCGGUCGUGAAAACCCGGGGCUCAACCCCGGGCCUGCAGUCGAUACGGGCAGACUAGAGUUCGGUAGGGGAGACUGGAAUUCCUGGUGUAGCGGUGAAAUGCGCAGAUAUCAGGAGGAACACCGGUGGCGAAGGCGGGUCUCUGGGCCGAAACUGACGCUGAGGAGCGAAAGCGUGGGGAGCGAACAGG